rnacentral:rRNA from 1 species
UACGUAGGGUGCAAGCGUUGUCCGGAAUUAUUGGGCGUAAAGAGCUCGUAGGCGGCCUGUCGCGUCGGCUGUGAAAACCUGGGGCUCAACCCCGGGCCUGCAGCCGAUACGGCAGGCUAGAAUCGGUAGGGGAGACUGGAAUUCCUGGUGUAGCGGUGAAAUGCGCAGAUAUCAGGAGGAACACCGGUGGCGAAGGCGGGUCUCUGGGCCGAUAUUGACGCUGAGGAGCGAAAGCGUGGGGG